UUAGUGCUUCUCCUCCCCUGCUUAAAUUAGUAAUGUUCAAUUGUUAAACUAUCUGGGGCUUGUAGUUUAAAUGUAUUUGCAGUGCUGAUACCCAGCUGUUAGAUGUUUCUCUACUGUAAAUGUUACACCAUUAUCAGCAUUAGCAGGCCUCAGCCACGUGCUUCACCUCAUGUUGAGGUGUGGGUUAGCUGCUCAUCUCAUGGGCUCUUUAUCCCACAUGGCAUCGUCGUCCUUUGGCUAAAUGAUGAAAUAAAUGUUGGUAGGGACAUCUGAAUUAAUGUGAAGAAACGCCAACAUCUCUGACUUCCUGGGACGACGGCUUUAUGCUAACUUAGUUGUAGGCCGAUCUCUGGACUCUGCUUAUGGAGAUGAAUGAACAACAAAUGGCUCUUAAUGAUGCUGCUGCUGCUUCCAACUUUUGGAAUCAUCCAUUGCCUGAUGGGUGUGGGAAAAAGUCCUGAAACAUGAAGAUGCUACAAGUAUAGUGAAGGUGUGCUCAUGUGAGAAAACCCUCCUGACAGCCAGAACAGGUGGUCCUGGUGAUGGAUCCUGGCUUCAUGUUCUUGGAUCAGUGACAGAAGAUUCCUCCAUUGGCCAAGUGCAGAUGAAUAUACCUCCUUGGCAGACUCGUCACCAUUUGCCUUGUGACUGAGUGGGAUGAUGAAUGCUUGGAGAAGCUUUGCGGACAAAAGGGCAAAGACGUAUGACUGAGAAAGGAGAAUUUCAAGAUUAUUGAGCUGAUCAAGUCCUUUCGGCAUUGAAGAGCAAGACCCUAUUGUCGAGUUUGAAAACUCGGUGCUCCAGAAUACUUGAUAUUUUCAAAUACAUUUUGUGUAAUUCAGCAUAAAUGUUUAACUUGGAACACUAUGGAAAUAAAAAUUGUAAUAUGUA